UACGGAGGGUGCAAGCGUUAUCCGGAAUCAUUGGGUUUAAAGGGUCCGCAGGCGGAAAAAUAAGUCAGUGGUGAAAUCUCACAGCUCAACUGUGAAACUGCCAUUGAUACUGUUUUUCUUGAAUUCGAUCGAAGUGGGCGGAAUGUGACAUGUAGCGGUGAAAUGCUUAGAUAUGACAUAGAACACCAAUUGCGAAGGCAGCUGGCUACACGAAUAUUGACACUGAUGCACGAAAGCGUGGGGAUCAAACAGG
rnacentral:rRNA from 1 species